AUUGAACGCUGGCGGCAGGCUUAACACAUGCAAGUCGAACGGUAACAGGAGAAAGCUUGCUUUCUUGCUGACGAGUGGCGGACGGGUGAGUAAUGCUUGGGAAUCUGGCUUAUGGAGGGGGAUAACGACGGGAAACUGUCGCUAAUACCGCGUAGAGUCGGGAGACGAAAGUGCGGGACCGCAAGGCCGCAUGCCAUGAGAUGAGCCCAAGUGGGAUUAGGUAGUUGGUGGGGUAAAGGCCUACCAAGCCGACGAUCUCUAGCUGGUCUGAGAGGAUGACCAGCCACACCGGGACUGAGACACGGCCCGGACUCCUACGGGAGGCAGCAGUGGGGAAUAUUGCGCAAUGGGGGCAACCCUGACGCAGCCAUGCCGCGUGAAUGAAGAAGGCCUUCGGGUUGUAAAGUUCUUUCGGUGACGAGGAAGGCGUGAUGUUUAAUAGGCAUCACGAU
rnacentral:rRNA from 1 species